CGAGGGCCGUGCAAGGAGAAGCUGCUCGGCUAGAUCCAUCGCCAGCGACACCGAGCUGCUUGAGCGCAUCCUCGGCCGCUGUGGCCGUGUACGGUGUUGGAGGAGCUCGACUCGUCGCUAGACGUGUACGGUGUUUUGGAAAUUUCGGGUGGUAUGUCCUUAUUCCUCUGUGCUUUUUCGUGAUGCCGCUCACAAUUCCGC
rnacentral:lncRNA from 1 species